UUUGGUUUGCUUGCAAACCAAAGCUGGCGACCGGCGCACGGGUGAGUAACACGUAUCCAACCUGCCUCAUACUCGGGGAUAGCCUCUCGAAAGAAAGAUUAAUAUCCGAUAGCAUAUAUUUCCCGCAUGGAUUUUAUAUUAAAGAAAUUCGGUAUGAGAUGGGGAUGCGUUCCAUUAGUUUGUUGGCGGGGUAACGGCCCACCAAGACCACGAUGGAUAGGGGUUCUGAGAGGAAGGUCCCCCACAUUGGAACUGAGACACGGUCCAAACUCCUACGGGAGGCAGCAGUGAGGAAUAUUGGUCAAUGGACGCGAGUCUGAACCAGCCAAGUAGCGUGAAGGAUGACUGCCCUAUGGGUUGUAAACUUCUUUUAUAUGGGAAUAAAGUGGUCCACGUGUGGAUUUUUGUAUGUACCAUAUGAAUAAGGAUCGGCUAACUCCGUGCCAGCAGCCGCGGUAAUACGGAGGAUCCGAGCGUUAUCCGGAUUUAUUGGGUUUAAAGGGAGCGUAGGCGGAUUGUUAAGUCAGUUGUGAAAGUUUGCGGCUCA
rnacentral:rRNA from 1 species